rnacentral:rRNA from 1 species
GGAGGGGGCAAGCGUUGUUCGGAAUUACUGGGCGUAAAGGGCACGUAGGCGGCCUGAUUAGUCAGGCGUGAAAUCCCAUGGCUCAACCAUGGAAUUGCGUUUGAUACUGUCAGGCUUGAGUAUGGGAGAGGAGAGUGGAAUUCCUAGUGUAGCGGUGAAAUGCGCAGAUAUUAGGAGGAACACCAGUGGCGAAGGCGACUCUCUGGCCUGAUACUGACGCUGAGGUGCGAAAGCGUGGGGAGCGAACGGGAUUAGAUACCCCGGUAGUCCACGCCGUAAACGAUGGGUACUAGGUGUAGGGGAGUAUGAAAUCUUCUGUGCCGAAGCUAACGCAUUAAGUACCCCCCGCCUGGGAGUACGAUCGCAAGAUUG